rnacentral:rRNA from 1 species
ACUCAAAGGAAUAGACGGGGACCCGCACAAGCGGUGGAUGAUGUGGAUUAAUUCGAUGCAACGCGAAGAACCUUACCUACCCUUGACAUGUCCGAAACUUGCCAGAGAUGGCUUGGUGCCCGAAAGGGAAUCGGAACACAGGUGCUGCAUGGCUGUCGUCAGCUCGUGUCGUGAGAUGUUGGGUUAAGUCCCGCAACGAGCGCAACCCUUGUCCUUAGUUGCUACGCAAGAGCACUCUAAGGAGACUGCCGGUGACAAACCGGAGGAAGGUGGGGAUGACGUCAAGUCCUCAUGGCCCUUAUGGGUAGGGCUUCACACGUCAUACAAUGGUCGGUACAGAGGGUUGCCAAGCCGCGAGGUGGAGCCAAUCCCACAAAGCCGAUCGUAGUCCGGAUUGUUCUCUGCAACUCGAGAGCAUGAAGUCGGAAUCGCUAGUAAUCGCAGGUCAGCAUACUGCGGUGAAUACGUUCCCGGGUCUUGCACACACCGCCCGU